rnacentral:rRNA from 1 species
CCCUUAGAUGUUCUGGGCGGCCCGCGCACUACAAUGGCGCUCUCAGCGAGUUCCUAUGUUGAAUUUUCCUGGGUAUUCUUGGAAGCGGCGUCUUGACUUGGGAUAGAUCCUUGUAAUUGUUGGUUUUGAACGAGGAAUUCCUUGUAAUCGCGGUUGAUCAGCUCGCGUUGAAUACGUCCCUGCCCUUUGUACACACCGCCCGUCGCUCCUACCGAUGAAUCGUCCGGUGAAGUUCACAGAGUGGCGGUUCGUGGAGUUGCUCGCGAAGUGAAAUGGACCUCACGAUUUAGAGGAAGGAGAAGUCGUAACA